CACGUAGGGCGCAAGCGUUGUCCGGAAUUAUUGGGCGUAAAGAGCUCGUAGGCGGUCUGUUGCGUCCGCUGUGAAAACUCGGGGCUUAACCCCGAGCCUGCAGUGGAUACGGGCAGACUAGAGGUAGGUAGGGGAGAAUGGAAUUCCCGGUGUAGCGGUGAAAUGCGCAGAUAUCGGGAGGAACACCGGUGGCGAAGGCGGCCCUCUGGACCGGUACUGACGCUGAGGAGCGAAAGCGUGGGGAGCGAACAGG
rnacentral:rRNA from 1 species